AACGAACGCUGGCGGCGUGCCUAACACAUGCAAGUCGAACGGGAAAGCCCGCAAGGGUGAGUACAGUGGCGCACGGGUGCGUAACACGUGGGUAAUCUGCCCAGAAGCCCGGAAUAACUCCCCGAAAGGGGUGCUAAUGCCGGAUGAGACCACGGGGACUUCGGUCCCUGGGGGAAAAGGUGGCCUCUGUAUACAAGCUAUCACUUCUGGAUGAGCCCGCGGCCCAUCAGCUAGUUGGCGGGGUAAUGGCCCACCAAGGCUACGACGGGUAGCUGGUCUGAGAGGACGAUCAGCCACACUGGAACUGAGACACGGUCCAGACUCCUACGGGAGGCAGCAGUGGGGAAUCUUGCGCAAUGGGCGAAAGCCUGACGCAGCAACGCCGCGUGUGUGAUGAAGGUCUUCGGAUCGUAAAGCACUGUCGGGAGGGACGAAUAAGGGCCGGGUGAACAAUCCGGUCUGACGACGGUACCUCCAAAGGAAGCACCGGCUAACUCUGUGCCAGCAGCCGCGGUAAUACAGAGGGUGCUUGCGUUGUUCGGAAUUAUUGGGCGUAAAGCGCGUGUAGGCGGCCGGCCAAGUCGGAUGUGAAAAGCCCUCGGCUCAACCGAGGAAAGUGCGUUCGAUACUAGCUGGCUUGAGUACCGGAGAGGGUGGUGGAAUUC
rnacentral:rRNA from 1 species